UACCAGCUCUCCGAGUGGUAGGGAUGUUUAUUGGGCUUAAAGCGUCCGUAGCCGGCUUAGCAAGUCUCCUGUUAAAUUCAGCGACCUAAUCGUUGAGCCGCGGGAGAUACUACUAGGCUAGGAGGCGGGAGAGGUCAACGGUACUUCCGGGGUAGGGGUGAAGUCCUAUAAUCCCGGGAGGACCACCAGUGGCGAAGGCUGUUGACUAGAACGCGCUCGACGGUGAGGGACGAAAGCUGGGGGAGCGAACCGGAUUAGAUACCCGGGUAGUCCCAGCUGUAAACGAUGCGAGCUAGGUGUUGGGGUGGCUACGUGCCACUUCAGUGCCGCAGGGAAGCCAUUAAGCUCGCCGCCUGGGGAGUACGGCCGCAAGGCUGAAACUUAAAGGAAUUGGCGGGGGAGCACCACAAGGGGUGAAGCCUGCGGUUC
rnacentral:rRNA from 1 species